GUCAUGUUGGGGAGUCAUCGUGGCCCACCCUAGAGGUGGCAGACCAGGAGACAGAAAGUGCCUACAUCCUCACCGCAAUGUAGCCAACACCUCUGCCCUGGACCGUUUACAACCAGACUCUCAAGAAAGGAGACCUCACGCAGGUGCCGAGUGCCUCUCUGAUGCUGGCUGAGCCGGGCCAGGAUGGACCAGCGGCUGGAAGCCUGGAAGAUGUACUCCAGAGCCCUCUGGGCCCCUGCAAAGACUGAUGGGAGUGAAGGCAGAAGCUGGAGUCCAGGGCAGAAGUGACAAUUAUCCAGGUGUUGCACAACUAUCACCAGCAUCUAGAUCCAGAACAUUCUCAUCACCCCCAAAGGAAAUCUUGGACCCAGGACCAGUCGCUCUCCAUUCCUCCUCCUCCAGCCCCGGUCAACCACUGAUCUAAUUUCUGUCUCUAUGAAUUUGCCUAUUCUGGACGUUUCUCAUAAAUGGAUUCAUACAAUC